AGUGGCUGGUGCUUGUGGUGGGCAGCCAGGAGGAGGGGGAAGUGAGAGGACUGAGGAAGAAGAAAGAAGACAUGAGAGAGGAAGGCAGAGUGGCUCACUUGCCCAAGACUUGCUUUGGUAGCCAAACCACUUGGCUCUGACUUAAGACAAGAGGGGGAAACCUGCUAAAAGGCUUGAGGGAGAAGAAUUGAGAGGCAGUUUGGAAUGUUGGGCUCUUUGGUGCCUGGUAAGAGACACAAAGAACAUUCCGGAACAGGGCAGCCAAAGCAGAGCUGCGCUUUGAUAGGUCAGUAGGGAUUGAAACAGGGGCUUCCAACAAAAAAAGUCAUCAGCUAUAGUGUUGGUGAGGUUUACCCAGGGUUAAGUACAUACAAAAGUGUUUUAACAGGGUAACUAACUAACCCACCUACUCUCAGCAGCCAAAAACAUCAUAGCCAGACACUGGAGAGACCUGUCAGGCGUAAGCAUGGACCAAUGGUACCAAAUAGUAUGGGAAACAGCCUUAUUAGAAAAACUAACCAAUAAUCUGAAACUGACACGGGGACAAAUGGAAGAAGAUGCCUUCACUCCGGUAUGGCUCCCCUUUAUGACACACACACACACACAGCCCAACAAGACAGCAACAAGAAUCCACCAACAGCAUACGAAUGAAUAUGGCUAAGCUGAUUCAAGCACACACACACACCCCAUUUGCAUAUGAAAACAAAGUUCACCACAGCCAAUCACAAACAAGCAACCACACCCUGGGCCAACCCCAACCUCUCUCACCACCGAAGGAAGACAGUGAAUAGUAAAGAGAACCUGCACAAGCGAUGCUGACACAAAACCCCACAGUACAUUAAGUAGAAUACAAACAUUGGGACACCUGAUCCCACUCCCAUCACCAUGGCCCCCUCCACCUCUCCCCCCCUUUUCUUCCUAAUGUAACACUAAUGUCUCAACAAAUGAAACUGAUCUGUAGAAAAGGUAACUUGAAAAAAGAGACAUUGCACACACUUUUGUAAACAAAGAAAUCUUUAUUAUUAUUGUUAACAACAACAACAACAACAACAACAACGUAACUAACAGCUUCCUCAAAGCUGUCUUGGUUUAGUCAUAGAAGUGUAAAAUGAGUGGCUGGUAUUUGAAGUGACAACAGCAGGUUAACAGAGUGUGUGUCCGUUUAAAGAGACAGGCGCAUAUCGUAAGCUUGUGCACUGCUACAUAACCUUGUCAUCAAUAGACAAGAAUGUAAUAGACAAGAAUGUAGAAUGUAUUUUUUUAAAAUAUAGUAACUAUAUCUGACAGGCUUUGUACCAUGCCUACACGCCACAAUUACUAGGGUACAGGGUAAGUUAAGGGUGCAAAGUAUAUAAGUGAUAAUAUAUGGUGGCAGUGGUAUAAGUUGCCUUGCCACAGACUCGAAGAUAGUUUUCACACCCAAUCUGAAGUGCUGUGUUUUUUAACCCUUAAAACCCUAAACUUUAAAGCUGCGGUCCUCCAGAUGUGGCUGGAUUGUGACUCCCAUCAUCCCUGAUCACUGCCCAUACUUGCUGGAGAUGCCUUAAACUGCCUGGAUUCAGGGUACCAUAAGGAUCAUUUAAUUCCAUAUGCACCCAUUUAUGUGUUGAGAUUUCCCUCAGAGGCCCUACUGGAUGUGCUGCCCCACCCACAUAUAUGGUGGGUGGCAAUAUGGGAGAAGGUCUUUUCUGUGGUGACUCCAAAGCUGUGAAACUCACUCCCUAAUUUGCCUUGUUCUACGGUAAUGAAUUUUAGGCACCAGGCCAAGGUGACCCUAUUUUCAGAAUGCUCUUGGGCUCCUGAUUACCUCCUUUUCUCAAUUCUAUUGCUCUGAUCAAUUUUGCUAGUCAUGAGAAACUAUGGGUUUGUUUGUUUGGUUUUAUAUAAAAAAGAAUGUAUGUGUUUAUCAUAUUUUAUAUCAUUUUCAUAUGCUUUGUUAGAGAUUUACUUUUAAAGGCAGUGUGCAAAUAUUAGUCAAAUAUUAUUAUAAAUAAUAACAUAAUUUGGUAAGGCUGUGCAUAAGGAAACUAAUUAGCUUCCUUCUCAUUCAUUGCAACUUUGCAGGAAUCUUUUCAAUAUAGUUGAACUAUGUUUAGAUGCUUCAUUCUGCAACUUCAUUUGUGAAAAGCUAGUUGCCUAGGAGAUUUGACCUUCAUUCUGCUCAUCCCAGCAAACAUUAGCUGUUGAUAAAUCUGUCACCCACGAAUUUGUCUAAUCCAGGAGUGGCAAACCUUUUGCCCUCCAGAUGCUGCUAUACUACAACUCCCAUCAUCCUUGACUUGGGCCAUGCUGUCUGAGCCUGGGGCUGACCAUAUUCAGAGCAAGCUAGUGACCAUUGCAACACAUUGUAGAAGCAAAUUCUAUAAGUUAAUGAUGUGUAUCAUUUAUCACAGCAGUUUGUGUGCUUCUUUUCCUUCUUUGCUGUGUGUCCUGUCAGUUGACAGAGAAGCCUCUACUACAAAAUAUGAACUCACAUGCAGUUGUUAAUGCAUACAUUAACAUAUUUUUUUCCACCCUAACUUCUAACUCCUCUUUCAAAAGCUGUUCUUUGCAAGCUGAACGUUAGCAUCCAUUUCCUCGCAGCUAUUGCUUCCUUUGUUACUUCCACUGAGUCUUCAAACUGGGAAAGCUGUGACAGAGAUAUUAUGCUAGCCUGCAAUUCCUGUUUUACAUUUUCCUGACAAGUGAUAAUUCAAUUUCUGAGCCAACACAAAGUGUUCACAUUAUCAAGGGCUGUAUCUCUAUCUUAAUGAUUUGACCAUUCAUGUGAAUAAUGUUCCAGUAAGUGAGAUAGCGUUGCUUGGAACUCAUAAUGGCACUGCUGAUGUUCUUCCUUCCUGUCUUCCGUUUAAGGGUUGAAUCAUUUCAUUGCUUUCACACCGCCUUUCACAUUACUGUAUAUUACAGUACAAUAGUUCAGUUUGAUUUGUGUGCAAAAUAUGUGUUAUCUUUUUUUUUUUUCCUCCAGGGAAAUUCAGCGUGAGUCUGGCAUAUGGAAUGUUGCCAUUGGACCUGGAGGACACCCAUGCUUCAAAAACAGCACACAUGAAGCUCAGGACUUUGCUAGUCUCUCCGGUGAAAAGAGGUAUGGCACAAAUCUUCUCCAUCACACAAAUAAUGCCACGUGACACAGAUGUUCCACAUGGAUGUCUGACUGUACAGAUAACCAAUUCAUUUGAAUCUUUCCCCUUAAGAAAAGCUGAGUAGGCCACACAAAUUGAUUACCUGUAUGGAGGAUUUGAUUCCCAUUUGACAUGUUUUGCACUGUAGAGGGGAGUACCGGUAAUUUGAAGCCUAGGGAUGACAGGAUUUCCCAAUUUCGGUUCUGUCAGUUUAUCAUUUUUUUCGUUCUUAAAUUCAAAUCUCUGCAUUUCUGCAGCAAUUUGCAUUAAAAAAAAAACAUUGUGAAAAUUCACUAGCAUUUUAGUGUAAUUUUCUCCCAAUAAUGCAUUUUUUUCCUAAUAUACACAUCUCUGCAAGCAAUUUAACUUAAUAUAAUGCAUAUUUGUGUGUGUGUGUUAGAUAUUUUCACCAAUACAUUCAUUUUUAAUCCACAUUUCUCCCCAGGAUAUGCAUUUUUGUGAACACUGGUUGGUUGGAGAACCUCAUGACAAAACUGGGUAAGUGCAAAUAUUGAAGGUUGGCUGUGUUUUAUUUUUAUAUUGCUUUGGAAAGUGUAGAUUUCAUCAUUCCCACCCCCUUUAAGUGGAAACAGAAUCAAAUUUCACCCCCACCCUAGUCCAAGCUCUAGUCACAGAUUCACAGGGUGAUCUCUGUAAAGUCACUAUCAGUAAUAUUGGUGUAAAUGAGUUCAUUCAAAGGAUCAUCUCAGAAUGCUGUUUUAUACACAUUAGAUUAUUUGUCCACAUAGCUCAGUAUUUUUUACUCUAGCAGUGGCUACCCAGGUUCUCAGAGGCUGCAUGAAUUGAACCUGGGAACUUCUGCAUACAAUGCAUGUGUUCUACUGCUCCAAAAAGUUCUUUAUGUCACAUCGUGGUAACUGUUGGAAUUCCUGCUCCAUGGUUGCAGUCAUAGGAUUUUUGUCUAUCACAUGACGGUAUAUGUUUUGACUCCACAGAGUGGGAAGUAAUGAAGACAGGAUGUUUGUGUUACUGUGUUCCAUGAAGUGGGACUAUUGUUCUUUGUUCUUUUUCUCUUGGCUGUCUGAUGCUAGAGAGAGAGGGAGCCAUGUUGCAGUGCUCCGUGUGUGUUUAUUUGUAAAUAAAGUUGAUUAGCCAAAAUGCUGAGUUGCUGGGGUUCUGUCAUGCAUGGUGCGAAGACUCUGCGGAUUCCUAAGUGUGCCGGUGUCGGUUGGCAUUGGUCACUGUGAUGUUCAGGCUGAAGAAAGCUUAUGAAACUCCCAAACGAUCGACCAGGAGGGAGGGAACAUGCCAGUCGGGCAUGUGUCUCUGCCAGGGUCCUACUCGAGUGUAAGCUGAACUCCUGACAGUAACAACAUUGAGAAAAGUAAUGACUAUGAAGGGGAGAGUUGGUUCCAUGUGCUGUUACAAAUGGUUCGUUCAUCCAGCACAAUCAUUUUGCAUAACUUGAUGUCAUUAGAUAUGUUUCUGAGCUUUUCUUUCCCCCUUUUUUAUGUGAUCUCCCAUUUGUUCUCUUACAUUAGUCACUGUACAAAAUCCUCAGCUUUAUGCUAAACUCACAAACAUUUACCCCCAUAUCAGCCUCAAUGGAAGAAAGACCUUUAUAAAAACUCAGCAUUUUCCCACUUCCCCUAACUUUGUGUGCAAGUGGCAAUGUUAAAAGGUAAUUUGUUUGGAUUAGUAGUUGGAUCAAUAGGUGUAGUGGUUAAGAGUGAUAGGCUCGUAAUCUGGAGAACCGGGUUCGCGUCUCUGCUCCUCCACAUGCAGCUGCUGGGUGACCUUGGGCCAGUCACACUUCUUUGAAGUCUCUCAGCCCCACUCACCUCACAGAGUGGUUGUUGUGGGGGAGGAAGGGAAAGGAGAAUGUUAGCCGCUUUGAGACUCCUUCGGGUAGUGAUAAAGUGGGAUAUCAAAUCCAAACUCCUUGUUCAUACAGGUGGAUGCCAUUCUUUGUAUGGAGAAGAUACUCAUAUCCAUUUCUACAAUGUACUUAAUCCCGUGUUAAGGAGAUUGUGUUUAUUCUAUGUCUGUGCAAUGCAGAAUUAACACAGAAUGCCUUUCUCACACACAUGACAAUCUGUGUGUGGAAGGUAGAUGCUCAGUCUUCUACCACAUAAAGGGCAACAUGGCGAGCGUAUAUGCCAGGCCUCUCAAAUGGAGAUAGAAAAAAGAGAUGGGUUAAUUUACAAACACCUCAAAUAAGUGCAGAGCCUAUAAAAUAAAAUGGAGAAAAAAUGGAAGGAGGAAGAUUUUUUUAAUUUUUUUUUUUAAAAAAGAAGCUCAUAACCAGAUCAAUAUGGCAAAAAGCUAAUCUUAGGGAUUGAGCUUUAUCAAUAAAGUUGCAGAAACCACUUGUUCAUGUGAUAAAUUAUUGGCAGUAAAAAUAUAGAGCUUGCCUUUUUUUGGCCUUAAAUGACCGAGGCCUCAAAUAUCUGAUAGAUCGCCUCCUUCCCUGCUGACCCUCUUGGGCAUUUAGAUCAGCAGAAGGGAGCCUUUUGUUAGCUCUGCCACCCUCUAUGGCAGAAUGGCACCCUGGGAGAGGGUAUUGACUAUGACAGAGCCUAAGCUGGGGAGCUCCCUCCUCAUAGAGAUGUAUCCAACACCUUCACUAUACAGUUUUGUCUGAACCUCUUUACCCUGCCUGUUGGCACUAAAGAUGUAUAUUUUUAGGAUCCACUCUGUUCUUGUGGUGGUUAUUUGUUUUAAAAUGUUGCAUUGUCGUGACCCACCUGGGGACCUUGGGGUAAAGAGCAUAACAUAAAUACAGUUGCAGGAUGGAAUUCAAUGUAGCGCUGAAGAGGUCGUGACAUCGGAGCAAGCAUAUCUGCUUGUCCAGUGGGAUGAUCUCCCCCCAAUUUCUCUGCCCAUGAUGAACUUUGAGAGGCCACCUGUGCACAAGUUUAACUCGGAGCUUCCUGAAAAGCUGUAAACUGUUCCUGAGCUUUCAGCAGUAAUUUAUUUACCGUAAUACUGGUCAAGUGUGAACAGUGCGGUAGUCAUAGUAAGAGUACAUCAAGCAGUAAGUUCCCAGUGGAAGUGCACCGUUGUCAUGGCAGACUAUGAUGAUGGAAUACAACAGAGUGUUGAGGAGAGAGCGUGACGACAGGAGAACGUUGGGAACUGGCUAUUAUAGAGAGAUUCUUUUCAUGAUGUAUGCAUAAUAUCAAUGGCAUGUCGAUGUUUUCAUAGCGCUUUUCCUGCCAUCACGUUUUGAGUCUCAAGCACUACAACGAAACAUUUUUUAACUUGCUUAACGGUAUGUCUGUGUUUGCAAAAAAAAGAAGCCGAGAUAUUCGCACGGCGGAAAAACCAUGAAGACAGUGAAAAUUGCCUGUGACAACUACAAAUGUAUGGAAAUUCAGGAGGUGAUGCUUCGCAGCCAUUGCAAAGAAUAGCACAGAAAUGGCAAAAUGUUUCACCCCGGAGCAAAGACAUGGAUGCCCAUGAAAAUCUCAGUGUUUACACAUGACUAAUCGCAAAGCAAAGACCAGCAGAGCUGUUCCAGGGGAUGCUAGUCAGAUGAUGAGCUAAAAGGGUGGGGCGCACCAAACAUGUGACAUUUGCCAAAAGAGAAGAUGGAAAUAUUUCUCAGACUAUUUCUAGCGCAAGCAUUCACGACUAAAACAGAAUGAUACAAUUAGAUGGAACUGGCUCUCUGUAAUACACUCCUUUUACAUUGCUGACUCCGACAAUUUCUUGCUGUGGAAACAUCUAUUUGCACUUUCAGUUCAAUUACAUUUGGUAUUAAAUGCAUACUUUAGGGGAGCAUUACCUUACUAUCACUUUUCAACUUGACGUAGGGAAAGGGCAUAUUUGCUAAUUUCUACUGUGUACCAAUAGUUCGAGGGUCAUCAAGGUGCUGCCCUCCUCCUAUUGCCAGGACUCCAGCUCUAAGCAGCCCCAAUAGUCAGGAAUGAUAAGAACUAUAAUCUAAAGGGCACCAUGUAGAAGUUAGGCGCUAAGAUGAUGAUGUGACCAGCAGCCAAUAACUUGGACUCUUUUUUAAAUUUUUAACUUUUGCUAUCGACCCUUUUAUCUACCACCUUUCCCCCUCUUUUUCUCAAGGCUGAACUUUAGAGGACAACAGGGUAACUUUCUUUCUGAAUUUUAAAACCUAAAGUUUUUCCUGUGACUCUUACCUCCUCCGUUUGGCUCACUUGUUUUUACUUAUGUGGGAGACAUGGAUGCAAGAAGGCAACUAACUAAUACAAAUCUAUAUUAUACCUCUGCAAAGAAGAAGAUAUAGAGGGAAAGUGGGUUAUAAAGGCAACUACUGUUGUCCCUUCAAUGGGUCAGUAUUAGGAAGGGAGUUAUGUGUUCUAGGACAAAGCUGGGAGCCUAAAGGGACAAUCCUAUUCUUGAGGAUUCAUUGUAGGUCCCAUUACUCUAGUGCAGGCUUCCUCAACCUCGACCCUCCAGAUGUUUUUGACCUACAACUCCCAUGAUUCCUAGCUGGCAGGACCAGUGGUCAGGGAUGAUGGGAAUUGUAGUCUCAAAACUACCUAGGUUGAGAAAGCCUUCUCUAGUGGAAUAUAAGUUAUGCCGCCACCAUGGCAGAGUAACAUUAGGAUUCAAACAUUGCUUGCAUAAAUACCUAGAGACUAAAAGUAGCAGAUUUUUUGCUGGUUGUGCCACUGGAGCUUAAGUUUGUUUGCCUAUUAUAUGUUAUUUACAGGUUUUAUUACUUAUGAUUUAUGCAGCUCUUUAAAAUAGCUUAAUUUCAUUCCUGAAAAUGCUUUUGCAUUCAUUAUAUGUGUAUAUGCCAAACAGCACAUUCAUGCAACAGUGACCACUGAAGGAAAAGUUCUGGUCAAAAUGCAUUUGGUUUUUUUUAGAUUUAUGUGAUAAAGCUUUUUUGUUACAGCACUGUAUUUCAGCAUUACAGCACUGUAUUUCAUUUUUUUGUGAUCCCAGUUUGCUUGUUAUCAUUGUAUGUGUUGUGUUGGGAUAAACAUCCUUUGUCUAGGCAUUCAAGAAAAAUCAGCAAGCACCAUGUUUUGUGGGCAAUGGGAUUAGACACUUUCCCAGGGAGUUGGAGGAAACAGAAAAUCUCUUGACUGCAAACUCCUGAAAGCAACUUGUAUAAAUACAGUACACACACACAACAAUUACUAUCCCUAUGGCAUACAUUUCUUUUAUUAUUUUUAAAUUAUUAGUUAAAUUUAUAUGCCACCCUUCAUCAAAAGACCACAGUGUGGUUUACAACAUAGAACACACAUGCGGUUAAGUAGCAUAGUAUCUACACAACAUAAAAAUCAGAACAAUUAUAUAUGUACAAUUCUAAUACAGGCGACAAUUGAUUUACAAUGUGUCCAAUUGAUGUGCAACUACACUCUCGUGGUGAGCCGGAAGUGGCUGGAAAAGGGGGCAGAAUGGGUUUAUGGGUGUUUAUGCGUGCUCCACCGUCACGUGAGAUGACCCAGAAUGCAACCUCCACCCAAAUCAGGGGUUGCCUAUAAUGUGAAAAAAUAAAAUAUGUAUAACAUGAAGCGUCUGUAACCCGAGAUACAACAACAACAGUGAAAAAAAUAGAGAAAAUCAGCAGGAGGGUAUCUCAAAUACAAAAAUAGUGCACAAAUGUAGACUGUUCUCUCUACCCAAAGACAGCUCUUAAUCCCAGCCUCUACAGAAAAUGAUGGACCUUCCCAGCUCUCACUUGGGAGCUUUCCUUUCCUCUCCCAGUCUCUCACCUUGGGCUAUCUUCACUUCCCUGCCUCUUACUUGGGGCCGUUCCAUCAACUACCUGCCACUUUGACAUGGGAGAACUCACUGGCCAUUGAUGGCAUUUCAAGAAGAUGGCAACCGAGGGGUAAUCUCCCUGUGGUGUCUCCCCCUUGUGGUGACUCCCAUCGGCAUUGGCCCAUUACCAAUUGGCUCCCUGCCUGCACUUUGCCUGACUUCUCUCCCUGCACAGAAAUUGGCUGAGUGGCUGUACAUAGUUAUAAAAUCCCUGCCCUGCAUGUGCUUGGGUUGUGUGAUGCUUUCGAUCCAUUCCAACUUACAAUUCUUCUUCCAGCAUUUUUUUUUCCAUUGUGGGGGGAAAAAAAGAGGCCUGUCUUUUCACAAAGGGUAGCAUUUUGAUAUCAUCCCUCUGAAAGAAAGAAAUACCUGGCUGAGGAACUGGGAGGAGGAGAAUCUUUAUGUUCGCUGUCAAAUCACAUGUCUGCUGCAGCGAAGCAUAAUGACACCUCCCUCCCUCCGCUUUCAUCAUAAGCAUUUCACAUUCCUCCUGCAUGCAGGUACGUGUGAGUGCACAGUUGAGGCUGUGACAGCUGCAAGGACUCUGAAGGGGCCUAAACUGAUUGAAACAUCACUCUCCCCUCAGUUCAUUAUUCUGGCUUGUUUUGUUAGAACUGUAGCGCUGCAUAAAGGAAUCACAUGCCUGCGCGCUGGUGAAAUAAAAAUGUUUGUCAUGAACUCGCAAGUGAACUAAUAUCUCUGCAGAAACAUAUUACCUCUGGUUCAGACAGCUACAGUAGAAGCAAAGGCAGGGAAAUUCCCAUUUGCCGAAGUCACUUGACUUGAAUUACCCACCAUUCAAAAGCAGCUUUCUUUGCCUUUUCCUGGGGUAUUUACUACAGACAGUGAUGGACAGAAACGACUCAAUACCCACGGGCCCAGAAUCUUUUCAAGAGGCCCUUCCAUUCGAAGGCUCUCAAGAAGUGCCAGUGGAGACCUUGGAUGCUCAGCUGGGCCUUAUGCCAGUGACACCAGCUUGUCUGGUUUGAAAAAAGAGAAACCAAAGGGACCAUUAGGAGCUAGUGUCAUGAUGUGGCUGAAAGGCUAACAUCUGACCAAAGAAGUCCCUGGUUCAAAUCCUGCCUGCACUAUGAACCCUGGCCAUGAUUCUUGCAAUGAUUUCUACAAUUACAGGAGCCCUGCGCUCUCCUGGGACACUGUUUGGGGCAACUGUAGGAGCCCCUGAAAGAACUACAGCAACCAUAGCCCCUGCUUCCUAUCAGGCUGGUGAGACAGAUGCGAAGGGAGGAGGAAACCUGUCCCACCUUUGUUUCUGACUGUCCCAAAGCACUGCCAAGCAAAGGGAAGGCUGUGCAUUCAAGCGAGUUCCUGGUGAAUUGGAUGAAGGCUUUGGGGAGUUGGACAGUUAUUGGGUCAUGAUUAAAAUGCAUCUUGUAUCAAAAACAUGAUUUUAGUAAGUUGGCAAACCCUAGUAAGCAGAAGACCAGGGCCAAAUUAUGUAUCUGGCAACCUGGUACAGUGGUACCUUGGGUUAAGAACUUAAUUCAUUCUGGAGGUCUGUUCUUAACCUGAAACUGUUCUUAACCUGAGGUACCACUUUAGCUAAUGGGGCCUCCCGCUGCUGCCGCCGCCACCACAUGAUUUCUGUUCUCAUCCUGAAGCAAAGUUCUUAACCCAAGAUACUAUUUCUGGGUUAGUGGAGUCUGUAACCUGAAGCGUCUGUAACCUGAAGCAUCUGUAACCUGAGGUACCACUGUAAUUUAAUGUUUAUUAGAAAUGUUUCACAUAUAAUGCUUUUCAAAUAUUUAUCAAACCUCCCAAAUCCUACACUAUCCUUUCAUUAUUAGUAAAUAUGUGUUUUGAAGCUCAGCAUUUGACAGAACACAUUCAGCCCUGAAGUUUUCAUUUACUUCUAAAUAAUUUAAGUCUUAGUGACUGCAUAGGAACCAGAACAGAACCCGUUACAUUUGUGUUUGUGUGUGGAAGAUGUUCCCAUGCAUGUGGAGAGAACAGUACCAAAACAAUUCAAACAUAGAUCUUGGAAGAGAAGAAUGCUGUUUUCAGAAGCUGAUUGGAUUUCUGAAUUCUAUUGGAAAUAACUUUUGCUAAGCAAGAAACUUUGCUAUAAAACAGUCCUCUCUCAGUGGCAAUUUGAAGAACCAAUUCACAAAAAAGGAUUCCAAAUUGGGAGUAUUUACACAGCAGAAAUUUCAAAGGGCAUCAAAAAAUGUGUGUCCUUGGGUUCUGCACUCUGGUGAGGUCAGAGCAUGGGCACUAAAAUAGGACGUCUGGGAUUGGGAUCAGAAGCCAAGGCAGCUUCUGUAAAUCUGGGAUAUACUGCUUAAAAUGGGACAGUUGCACAGUAUGCUAUCGUUUAAAACUUCUUUUAAAAAAAGAAGAAAAGGGGGGAUUUCUGCAUUCUAUACAGCACAAUCGACAACUGAAUAGAACAUCUUAUUUAGUAUCAAUAUAAACACUAUGCAUAAGAAUCAGCUACAAAAAUACAAUAAAUAACAAUAAUCAAUAUAUUAAACAGCUAAACAUAUUAUUAAAACAUAUAUUAAACAGCUAAACAAAAUGCCCUCGAAGCAUCAGGAACUAAAAUAUAAAUUCAACCUUUUAACAUAACAUGGUAAACAAUUAGGCAAAAGAAAAUCAACUCACUUCCCAACCAGCACACAUCAAUCAAUCAUACUGUUGCACAAACCAAUCCAAUUAUAUAGCAACUUAAUGUAACUGCAGCUUAAUAUAACUACAGCUAGAAAUACGUACUCUUCAUCUCCACUCAAGCACACUGUUACAUGAUCGACGCACAUCAAACAGAGGAAAACAUUAAACCAAUAUACUCAAACUGACUAUUUUAUCACACCUUCAGACCACAAGCUCCACACUGCAAGCACUCACAUAAUUUAAUUUUGCAUCCUCAAUCAACAAUCCACUUGAUGCCAUUAGAACCAGCCAAAUCUGGAUAAAUACAAGCAAGCAACACUAUGCAAUCAACCCCUAGAUAAAACAUUUAUACAGAGCUACAAUUCCCAGAUGAGGGACACGGGUGGCACUGUGGGUUAAACCACAGAGCCUAGGACUUGCCGAUCAGAAGGUUCGAAUCCCCACGAUGGGUUGAGCUCCCAUUGCUCGGUCCCUGCUCCUUCCAACCUAGCAGUUUGAAAGCACGUCAAAGUGCAAGUAGAUAAAUAGGUACCACUCUGGUGUACGCUGCUCUGGUUAACCAGAAGUGGCUUAGUCAUGCUGGCCACAUGACCCGGAAGCUGUAUGCUGGCUCCCUCAGCCAGUAAAGCGAGAUGAGUGCCACAACCCCAGAGUCGGCCACGACUGGACCUAAUGGUCAGGGGUCCCUUUAACUUUACCUUACAAUUCCCAGAGUUCCCAGGGAAGAAGGACUGGUGGUUAAAGUAAUCUAAAAAUUGCAGCUCUGGGAGGGGAAUAAGAAUCUCCUGAGAACUGUCAGAACCCUUAAUGAACUACAGUACCCAGGAUUCUUUGGGGGAAGCUGUUUAAGGUGAUAUAAUAGUGGUUUGAACAGGUGGUGCAGGUGGAGUGACAGUUAUAGAGUCAGGUUGCCAAUUGUCCCUGCCUCCUUUGCAGCACAUGGAUGGCGUUACACUGGAAGAAUUGACAAAGUGUAAGGCUCUGAUCCUUGCUUCACCAGGGGACUCACUGGGGUGACCAAACUCACAAGGCUGUAAGCAAGGUGAAAUUGGACAACUUUCAGCACCAGCUUUGUGCUCCCCUGGAGGAAGAGCAAACCACAAAUGUGAUAAGUUAGUCUUGUUUAGUCCCUCCUCUCAGCCAUGAUUACCAUCCUACUUGGGAAAGUAAAGGGGUGAGCAUCCCCCACUUCCACAUCCCUAUCACUAUUCCUGCCCCUCCAUGUGUGUUUGGGAGCUGAACAUCUGCUUUUUCAGGGUUCUGAAUCAAGCAGGAAGGCUAUUAACGAAAAACAGCCCUCCCCCCAUUAUGGAUGGGAAAUCUGCCAAUUCUGCUUUCUCAUUUCCCCAAAAUUAUUUGCAUUUCUGCAUCAGUCUGUAACUUUUAGAAACUCACAAAAAAUUACCGGCAUGUUAGUGCCCUUUCUUCCUUUGCAAGCAAUUUCCCCCUUCUCCUGUGCAUUUUUUGUAUAUUAUUUCCACUAAUAAUAUUCCUUUUUAAUGAACACUUUUUCCCAAUAUACACAUUCUUGCACACAAUAUUUUUGGUUGGAGACUGAAAAGCACAGCAAAUUUAAAAGCACAGCUAUGAUUCUGUUCAUACAUUGUUACAGGAAGUGCAAAUUAGGUAGAUUAGUGAUAAAACUGACUUGAAUUCUUCCCCUCCCCAUCCCUUGUCCCUAUUGCAGAAGCUUAGUCCCCCAAUACAACAAUAAGGAGUUAUGGGAGGGACCAACAUGCCCAAGGCUGCUCUACCUGUCUCCCACAUUAUUAUAGUGGGGAGGGGGGCUAAAUACAGAUGAAUGAAGAAAUAUGCCACUGAAACUAGCCAGCUAAUCCACAGGAUAAAAAUGCCAACCCCUCUGAGCAAGAGUGGAAGCCCCCCUAUCUCCCAUGUGAAGAAACUUCCCUUCACAGUCAGUUCCUUUGCUUCACAGACACAUUUUCAUUUAAUGCUAUUUUCAAACACUUUGAGCUAUUUUGCAAUGAAGGAUAAAUAUAAAAGGAAGUCGGGGCAUUAUUUAUACCAAGGAGCACAGCUUGUGGUCCAUUACAAAGCAUUUAAUUUGGGGAUGAAAUAUAAUGGAUUGAGGGAGUUUUCCCCUGAAAGGUUUGUCUGCCUUUAACCAUUCUUGAGCAUCAUUGCUUGUGGUAUUAUGGACUCAUUCAGUAGCUGAGGUGUGAGGAUGGGGAAGGGGAGCUUAAUACAGAUAAUACCAUUUUAGAAAAAAAAAUUGCAGAGCACUCAAGGAUAGCACUGCAUAUAUAUAUAUAUAUAUAUAUAUAUAUAUAUAUAUAUAUAUGGGGCAGUGCUGAAAAGUAGGUAUCUACUGAACUUGGUCUGAGAGCACCGUGCAGAGUGGAACUCUGUAGGUGUCCAUGCAGCAAGCCUGCUCUUGUGAUUAAUUUAACAAUGGGUCACAUCUGUGCCUGAAUACACAAGAGCACAGGACAGGUUCUGUCUGUCCAAAAGGUAUCAAGCUAUCUACCUGGCUUACAUGACAUGACAUGUUAUUGGCUCAAAACAGCCAGCGUGUCGAUCAAGUCCCGCCUGGGUCCAAAAUCCCUUAAAAGUGAACCGUGGCCAUACAAUCUUUGCCCCUCAAAAUGCUUCAAAAUUGCUCCUCUCAACUGACCAGUAACGCUGAUACCUUUGCACAUGAGGAGAUCUGAAGUCAGUUUGAAAGUAGAUAAUAAUAGGAUAGACAGACUUGAACUAAAACUUUUUUAUGUUCUCGUUUUCUUAAAGCAACAUUCUGCCUCUUUUUUAAAAAAAAAUAAUUUUUAUUAACCGGCCAAUCAAAUCAAAUCACAUCACAUAAAUUCCGAAUUACAAAGCCAAAUUUUAAAUUUUGUUGUUGAGGGGACCCAUAUUUCAAGAUCCGAAGGGGGAUUCUAAUCAUCUUCUUGCUACUGUUUUAAUGUCCAAAUCAGUCCAAAUCAGUCCAAACAGAGUUCAUAAUUCUAUCCAGUCUUAUCUUGCUGUUUCCACAUCACAUCUUGUUCAUAUAUUUUCUCUUUUUCUUUAUGAUCUCUUCUGAUAGUCUCCUUAAGCCGAUAAACACCAAUAAUAAUCCUGUGUGAAUUUUUCUGUUCUUCCAAUCCUCAAAUCGAGAUGGUUUCCAUAUAUCAUCGCCUUCAUAGAUAACAUCGCUCUUUCCAUCAUUAAUUACAGAACUGUCGUUCUUAAGUCCCUCUGAGGAGUUUCACCCACAAUAUAAAAACAGCUCUAUUUCUCUAUUUCUCCUCCCAGACUUAAGUCCUCCGACAGAACUUCCCAAUAUGGCGACGGCAUUUUUAACUGCGUCAUUCCAAAGCCCUUAUACAUUCCACGCUCUUCUUAAAACAUGCUUUGGUUCGAAAGUUUAUCUCCACACAGCCUUAAAUCCACAGCUUAAGUCCUUAAAACGACAUUUCUGACUUGUGAGGGGAGGGAAUUCUUGUUUAAUCACAUAAGGAAAGAAAGGAAAGUUUUCCCCCCCUCCCCCAUCAGUCAUCAGUCCCUUUACUGAGUCUUGGCGUAUCUUCUCAUAAUCUAUACUUGUUCCUCCGACUCGUCUUGUUUUAUCUGAGAUCUCUUCUGUUAGCAGUCUUUACUCCCCCUCCUUCCUAGAAAUAUGUGCAUUCGCUUCAUCCAAAUUGUUUCUUUUGAAGUUCUUGCAGCUAGUGGCGCGGAUCAGAGACGGCGUCCAGGAGCCCCGAAAUCCCACAGGAGGGCUUUGUGCCUAGUGCCCCCAUCCCCACAAAUUCGGGGGUGGUAUAGGGCACAGCAGGCAAGGGCAGCCCCCCCCAUCCUGGGGGGGGGGUUAGGGAGGCUAAUUACUCCCAUCAUAGCCUCCAAAUUACCUCGUGUGGGUCGGAGAGAUGUUAUUGUCAGCCAUCUUCUGAUGCGCCCCCUAGUGGCCCCCAUUCUGCCUCUUACUUUUUUCACCCUUCUUUCCUUUUAGUCUUAAUAAACUUCCUACAAUUUGGCUGUCGGAGCCCUGGCUCUGCUUCUACGAAACUCUCAGAGAACUCUAACCCUUCAUGUGCCUCGUUACUUGGUUCAGGCUACACAUGUGUAAGUUGGGGGUUGAAAGAGAAAAGCAGACCAAGCUGGUCUCUGGGGAGGGACAAGUAGGCUGGAUGCUCUUUCUGCCUUCCUUCAGUUCCUUUUUUGGAUCCCCAAAUAUCAUUCUGGUUUUGGGGUAAAGGCAGCUAAUGGUGCGUGGCGCAAGCCUACAGAAGUUUGGACAUGAUUGGUCUAACACAAGGCACACUCAUAGGAGGAAAAUAGCAAAAAGGUUACUUCCCUCCCCUUCCACCACAAAUUACCACUCUAAUUGCAGUGUUUGUUGUAAAAUCAAUGUUCUCUACUUUUGCUUCUGGCUAUGGAAGCAAAUUCAAAAAUAAUAAUCAUGUCCCAACAGCCAGCCAAAAUAAAAGGUUAGUCUUCAAAGAGGGAUAAGCACUAAGCUCAAAAAGCUCUAUGGUCAACCUUCACCGCCUUCUGCUGCCUCUGCCCUUCUCCUCCCCUCGAGCAAAGCAAUUUCAGUUUCAUAAUAUAAUGUUGCAACAUUGUAAUCCACAAACAGUGCACCAUGAGGAAUUAGUUAAAUAGCUGAAGGCUCUUAGGAGCCCCAGUUGUCAUCCAUAGAGGAGGAUGUCUACUGCAUCCCUGUAUGAGACAAGGUUCUGACCUCACCUCCUUCAAUGCAUCUUCCUUUUUGAGAAAGAUUUGAUUACAUAUUUGCAGCAACUGCCAAACAUUUCCAAUGCAGAGAUGAAACCCACUUACUUGCCCUCAGUGAAGCUGACCCCCAAACUGUAACGCAUCUAGGGACAUAAUAGAGAGGCUUGCCAACUUCCACUGCCAAGGAACUGCGGGAAUAGGAAUAUUAACAAGUAUAAGGAAGACCCUAUUUUAGUGUUGAAAUGUUGGAAGGUCUAUGCUAGUUUGGGAUUCAUUUGCACCAAACAGUUCCUGCUCAUAGAAAAAUAAUCUCAUCUCCUCCAGUUCCUUGUUUCAGAAAAGGGUGCCAGAUAGUAUGAAUAAUGGUAAUACAAACCUAAGCCCGUCACUGAUUUAUCUGACUAGUUUUCCUCCAGAGCUACUUACUAGGACAACACUGAAUUGUGCAAACAUUUAAUCAGGCUAUGCCUAAUAUCCCCCUACACAACAACGAUGCCUACAUAACAAUUUUGUAUCCUUGAUUGUGGCACCUCUUUGUUCCUGGUUCCCCUGGAAUACAAGGCAUACUCAGUUAUUGAGCACAGAUUAUAUUACAUCAAAUAAUACCUGGGAGCUCAGUGGUAAUCAUGAAUAUACUGUAGAUGUUGACCUAAAGUCUCCCACAAAUCCAGGACAAUAGUUUCAAGCCAACUGUUGCUCUAGAUCUGCCAUUCUAUGGGCUGAGUUAUAAGAACAGCUAGAUGAUGAAGUUAUUCUGUUUGCUCUACAUUUUACGUCAAAACCUUUCCAUCAACAUCCAUGUUCAUUAUUACCUCUGAUGAAGAACCUUAUAGCACUUUCUGCAAUUAAUAUACCUCAGCCCUCAGCUACCAACUACAUUUUGUCUUCCAGAUUGCUUGACUCAGAACUUUUUGGCAUAUCCUUGUGCUUAAUUGCAUUCAGUCCUUUGUGGCUUUUGCCCUUUCUGUCCUCUGUCUUGAUCCUGCACAGGUCUCCACACCUGAUAUUCCUUGCUCCAGGAUAAUUUGAUUGAUUUGACAUCUAGAUCUUGAGUCCUGUACAAAGCUAAUUUCAUUUCCCCAGCAUGAAAUCUGGGCCUGUUUGACAAACCUCAUGUGGCCUGCUUGAAUGUUCAUAUUUCCUGAUCUUUCAAAAUAAACCAGUUUCUGAUAUCCCAAUUAAUAGUAAUAAUGCUUGACAUCUUUUGGAAUGACAUUAGAAUAUUGACGGCUCUUCAUGCAUGUCUUGAUAAUCUUUCCAAGGCAGGUCAAUAUUAUAUCCCCAUAUUGCAGAUGGAAGGCUAAAGGUUACUAAUUUGCUUUAAGCGAUCCAUCAAAUUCACAAAUGGAGGAGAUUUGAAGUAUGGCUCACAAUCCUGGCUUACAUUUUUAGUCACUACACUACACUACACUACACUACACUACACUACACUACACUUCACUACACUACAUCAAGGACUUCACACAUUCAUGUUCAUCACUUGAUGAUUGGAACAACUGCUAUGUGUGAACACGUUGUCAGAUAUAAGAUGGACUUUCAUAUCACAUUCAUACAAUGCAGUUAACACACUCAGCUGCCAGUCAGCAACUGCAGUGCCUGCGUGUCUGACACACACAAACACACACCAACUAUAGUUACCACACUAUAUAAAUGUAGCAAACAGGUACGCAACUUGUGGCCUUCCAAAUGCUGCUAAACUACAAUACUCAUCAUCUUUGAUUACUGGCCAUGCUGGCUGGGCAUGAUAGGAAUUGUAGUUCAGCAAUAUCUGGAGCGCCACAAGUCCCCCGCCCCCAUCCCUGAUAUAGUGCCUACUGGUCCUGAUAUCACAAUAAAUGCUUCUCAGCCAUAUGGGGAGCCAGAUGUUAGCAGUUUACACCAACUGAAGCUAUGUCCUGCCCUCUUCUCAAAAUGAAUUGCAUAACAUGGAUUGGCAAAUCCAGUCUUUGUGAAUUUCAAAUGAACUAACUUGCUCUGUUUGGACUAAUGUGCAUUUCAGAACUUUGUUAUCCACUGGUUUCCACCUUUCCAGAAUUUCCAAUAUGUAUUUCACAAGAGAAUGUGUUUUAAAAUACAUGUUUUAAUAUGUUUUAAAAUUCAGAUUUUAAGAAAGUAAAUUGCAGAUUAAUCCAGUAAUAGGACAGAGCAGAUUUGUGUGUGAUCACAUAUGAAAGUCACACAGACUGGAAAUAGACUGAUUUGCCUCUCCUAAGAAUUAUACAGCUUGGCUCUGCAGACUCAACAGAAGGCAAAUUUUCUUGAAAUAUUUGGCAUGCCUCCUGACCUAGUCAAGCAGAGUUCUCAAAACAAAACCACACCAUUAAAUAAUUCAGCCCCCCAACAUUUUCCGAGGCAGGCUGAGGAUUUCAAAUGAGGUCUUUGAAUAAUAAGUCAAGACCCAAAGGAAGUAAAUGUGAAGGAAUGAGUCCAAUUCCAGUGCUGAGGAAAUAUUUCCAAAUUAAAAUACUUUUUUGAUAGGACUGGGAGCAAGUCCAUAGUUAUUGCCAGCAGCAGGGAAUGAAAACAUCAAUUCUACAUAUCACCAAGAGUGGAAGCUCACAUACCAGCUACAUUAGAAAGCUCUAGUAACUCCAAGAGAAAGUAUGUGCUGCAUAUGUGUCCAGAAAAAUGUAAUUUUAUAACCUAUUCAGAAUCUUAGAACCUAUUAAGAAGCCAUGCACACACCGUCAGCAUUAUAUUAUACAAAGUUAUACAUUGAUAUUUUCUAGGUUUGCUAAUGGGGGGAGGGAUCUUCUGCUAUUCAAUAGUAUGUAUGUAAUGCAGAAUAUACUAAGACUAGGAUGUCGGACAACAACUCCCAUCAUUCCUAGCCAUCAUGACCAAUGUUCAGAAACUAUGGAAGCUGUAAUCCAGCAAGCAUAUGAAUGGCAACACAAUUCCCCCUCCUGCCUGUCUAGAACUAUAAAAUCUUACAUUUUAUAAGAGAUAAAACCAAUGUUACAUCAUUAUGACUUCUUGUUUACCAAGUUAGCAGUUAUUUAUUUAUUUAACCAAAUCAAUAUACCACUUACUAGAAGAAAAGAUCUCUAAACUGUUUGGUUUUUUUAAUGGAUUUUGCCAAGGUGCUGCUGGGUCAGGGUAGUUGAUUAAAUUUAUCCUGAGGAAGUAGGGUUGUUAGGAAUGAAAUGUGUCUACUCCCAAAAAAUCACAAAAUGAGCCUUCAUAAAUUUUGAAGAUUUUCUGAACCAACAAAUAUUGUGCUGAAGGUCACCAAAUAUCAUUGGGCAUGUGAAAAUGUUUGGCUAUAUACUCUCAAGGUUCACUUGCUCCCAUACAAAAUUGCUGGGGGGGGGGAUUUCUUUGAGGGUAUUCCCAACAACUGUAGGGAGGUAGAUGGUGACCAAAAACUUUAUCUUUCGUGUUGUAAUGGUUUAACAUUGGAAUAUCCUCCUAAUAUCAAUCACCCGACACAAAUUCUUACGAGUUUUAGUUACCAGAUAGCACACUUAGUGGCCCAGGGUGUGGGUUGUGUGUGCAUGUGUGUUUUAACAUGCUUUUGCUGUAACAUCUACUUAGCUUAUUUGCUGCUUUCAGUACAAUUCUGACGGCUGUUUUUCCUUAACUAGCGCUGUAUUUUUAAAUUGCCUUAAUGUUACAUUUGUUAGCCACCUUGACUUUUUUCCUAUUAUUAGCUAGUGUGUAUAUAUAAAAGUUGACAUGAAAUGCUAUUUGGUAUUUGAUCAUGGACAUGCAAUGGUACUUUAGAUUUCAUUGUAAUUGUUGACUGGCAUGUAGUUAUAGUAUGCAGUAUUCAGCUACAUUUGGCAUGCAAAGCUGUAUCUGAUAGAAUACAGUGGAAUGUAAUAUGUGGUCACAAAGUGAAUGCAACAAGUGUGCAGGCAAUUGGCUGCUGCAGUAUAGUGUUUAAAGUGUAAGUAGCAAAUAGUAAAUUAGCUUUGUACAGGACUCAAGAUCUAGAUGUCAAAUCAAUCAAAUUAGCCUACUGUUUCCCCCAUAAUGCAGACCCAAUCCAGUGCUUGUGAUUUGCACUGGAAGGGAACCUCCCAUUUUGUUCCAAUGGAAAUUAUCUUAAUAGCAGACAAAGGGGUGAGGAGGGUAAUCCAGACUGGGACUGCAACAGGGAGCAAAGGGUUAAAGCACCCUCUUCAUCCUGCACAUGGAGUUUCCCCCAGUAGCGAACGAAGGCCAACCGACACCCGGGGCGGGGCAAACAGCCAGCUGCGCACGCAUUGUGCUGCUACGUAGGACACAUGUAUGGCGUCGCUACGUACGAUGCAUGUGUGGCGUUGCUAUGUAGGGCUCAUGUGCAGUGUCACUACAUACAGCGCACACAUGCGACACCGUGCAAGUGUUGUGCGUAGCUGUUUGCCACCGGAGCCGCUCGAACGCCGUACAGACGUGGGAUCCUCUGCUCACGGCUGGAGCCACAAACGGAGCAUCUUCCACAUACAGUGGCGGUGGCGCAAUGGUUGCUCGCACUGCCGUGGCCAGGGGGCAGAGCGAGCACCCCCUGGGGUGCCUUCUUGUCACCCCUACAAAUAUGGCACCCAGGGCACACCGCCCCCGCCCCCCCCCACUGGUUCCCCCCCCCAUACCUGCUAUUUACGGUUUUUAGAAAAACACCUUCAGUUUGGCCCUGAUUAACACCCCCCUUCAGAAAAGCCCCAUCAGGUUUGAAAAUAUUAUUGCUGGAAUGACAGCUUCAAUUCUCUGAAACAGAAGUGUACAGAAUCUCCCUGAGAAAUGUUAAUAGCCCUAUCAUACCUCCUUUUUCUUUUUCCUUUCCCUCCCUUGAUAUUCCUGAUUUCAAAUUCACCUUGACAUGUUACUUUAAUCAAAACUACCAGGCAAUCACCAGUGUUUGAGAAUCCCCUCCUGCACUGAGAAAUCUCACUAGUCCUAUUGAAACUCUAUUUGCUUCCUUCCGAGUGCCUCAGACGUUUCACCUGGGCAGGAAUACAAAAUUUUCACAAUAGGCAAAAUCCAUUGGCAAUGCUGGAAAGAAAGGAGACCCAUUUUCUGAUUGUGAUUAUCUAGAACAAAAUCUCUCAAAAGGAGGAAAUGCUUCUCCAAGCAAGGGGCUUUGGGCAUGAAUUUGUGUGCUUCAUGUAAAAGCGUCGGCAAGAAUGGUUUCUGUUUAGAAUAAUUAUACAUCAUAUUUUGUCUAUCUCGGUAUGUUCUAUUUUAAUUCACAAAAAGUGAAGGAGGGAACCCAGAGGCAAAGGCAAACAUCUGUUGCACAGCUCACUUUCAAAUAAGGCUUCCAGGCCUACAUUUUAUAUUAUAAUAAGCUGGUAUGUGCAAGCACAAGAUGGAUAUAUUUUAAUUGUAUUAGUGGGGUUUUGCAUUAUUCAAGCAUGAGAAGAAGAUAUUUUAAUUGUAUUGGAAGAAUUUUGCAAUGUUUUAAUGACUUUUAAAGAAGCAAAUGGCCCAUCUGAUUAGACUGAUAUUAAUAGAGGAUUGUGGAGCUGAAAGUAUACUAUGAAUAAUGCAUCUAUGGGUGAAAAUUCAGAUUGCAGUGUUGACAGGAACGUAAGUGUUCAGGUCAUGCUUGGGGUAUCUGAAGGCUCAAUCCUUGUCAGAGGAGUCAUCCCGAAGGUCCCAGCUACAUAAUAUGGGCAUGCUUAAUAGCUCUGGACCCUGAUUGGACUUUAUUCCAUAACCUGCCACAGAACAUGCUUCCUGGGGUGUAUUAGGUCAGGAGAGAUGCUAUAUCCCUCUGGAUUGCUCCAGCAGAAAGUGGCACUAGGCAGUCUCCACAACUGGACACAUCUCCCGGUAAGACCCAGUGAGGUAAACAGCAACCCUCUCAAAAAAUUCACCACCCCCAAGAAAACAGAACUUCUGCCUUGCCUCUUGAAGGGGGCAUAUUUCCAUGAAAGGGGGUGAUGUUCAUAUCCUGGCUGAAGCCCAAGCCAGGAUAGCUCCUCCAUUGAUGAAGAUCACAAUGCUGUCAAGUCUGAAGACCUUAUGUGGCCUCCUGACUCCAACACGAGUCACUUUCAGUAUCUCUGGUGGCCCUUCUGCAGUAUGACCUGUGGACAAGGUACCUGACCCACCUGCAUAAUCAGAGAGGAAGAUUUAAGUACUUCCCAGCUCCAAGGAAUGCUGGUGUCAGAAGGUACAGGUAAAGGCAAUCACUUGUGGGCAGAAGAACCAGGCUUCUUGGGGGUAUGAAGACUCACUGGGAGCCAAGAACUUUGUAGUCUGAGCUAACCAGUUGCAGCUGGGCCUGGGUGACAAGGCUACAUAAACUCAGUUGAAGCCUGCUUGUUACUUGCUAGAACAACGCAGACCCUUUGUUCUAGGUAGCCCAGCUUCUUGUUCCAGUGGCCUACUCUGACUGAUCAACUUUGUACUACUGAUCCCUGCCAAUGCCUAAAUCUUGCAAUCCUGCCUACCUUUUGACAGCUGUGCUGCUUUUAACUUUGGCUUUGUCUCACAACCCUGCUGUUGGAUCAUGAACACUCUUGGAUACAUGCCCACUGUGGAUGAUCUUGAUUUCUUCUUAAAAUCCUGUUUCUGGAUUGUCCUGAUAUGUGACUGCCACCAGAUGAAGGCAGGAUGGGUGGUGAGGGAGGAUUUCAGCCCAGCAUUAGUUAAAACACAUUACUAGGAGAACUCCUGUUGCUGAUUAGAAGUCUGCAGAAUUAACUGGAUCCAGCCAACAUCCAAUGGGCCACUGGUGAGCCAAACGGCAAGGGUAUGUGUAAUGUGCCAUCAUAAAUUUAUUUCUGCUCACCACCGCUCAUCCUUCCCUGGAUGCCCAACAUGAAAUGAGAGGCCUUUUCCUCUCACAUUCUCUGUAUGGCAUACUGAAUAUACACUUGAAGGGGUUGUAAUGGAACUAUCUUGUUCCCCCCUUGAUACUUGCCCGGUCCCACUGGGUGUGAUUCUUGCUCUGGGGAUAAAGGAAAGACUACAUGAGCUGCCCUGCCUAGCUGUAAGGUAGUUGUGUGUGCUGUUCUUAACAAAAUGAACUGUUUAUGAAACUACCUGCUCCCACUGAGUGCUGAUGUGAAUGAGCAGGAUCAUGGACGCCUCAGUGAGGACUCCACUCAUCUGGCAUGUGAGUUACAGCAGUAUCAGGAUAACCUGACCACUAUAGUCUAGUUAUUGGUAACAUCAAUACUGGGUUACUGCAGUGUACUAUAUGUUGGGCCUGUUUCAGAAGCUCAAGCUGGUGCAGAAUGCAUCAGCUAGACUGAUGAUGGGGUAGAUGCCCAACAGCAUCUGCUAAAACAUUUGCACUGACUACUCAUAUGCUACCAGGCCAAGCUCAAGGUUCUUGUGUUAAACAACUUGGGCCCAGUGUUAAGGAAGACUGUCUGGCCUCCACUAGAACUUGGGCAUUUAGCGUCACCAGUCCCAUGCUGUGGAACACUCUUUCAGCAGAGUUUGACAUGCUUCCUUUUGACUUCCAAGCAUCUCCGGAAAAGCAUUUUUGUGCCAACAGGCCUUUGCAGCGGUCUGGGGUGCCAACUUUAAUAAAAUAUUGGGGGGGCAGGUAAACCCUGACCCGCAUAAUUGAUCACAUGAUGUGGUGCUCACACACCAUUUGAAUGGCAGUGCCCAUCAACAUUGGCACAUGCUCUUUGCUCAGGGUGGGGUUAUGUCUCUCACUUGGCACCAAGCCUUUAAGAGAGUCAGAAGUGGCACAGGUUUCUCUCACUAUAUCUGAUCAACAAAAAGAGAAAGACAGUCACUCACUAUAAAUCUGCUAGAGAAGGUCAGAAGUUACAAGAGAAUCUCGGAACAGCUUCUUUCAACAAAGCUUGGCAUGAGUUAAGAGGCAAGGCCAGAGAACUUCUGAGUAGAGUGAUGAUGCAGAAGCUGAAAAUGAUGGCCAGAUUUGUGAUGGGACUGGAUCACAGGAAGCAGUUUCUAGGCUCUCAACACUGCAGUAACAAAUGAACGGGGGCAGAAAACUAUUCCUUUGGGAAUUUUGGCUUUGUGCUAGCUAUCUUCUAUGAUCUGGUCUAUUCCCAGAAGAAAAAUAACUUUGCACAGUCACAGGAAGCAUCUUUUAUUGGCCAAGAUAAUAAUAAUCUUUAUCAGGCUUACUUUAGCAUUAUCUUGAGAAGGCAAACUCUCUAAAGCCGGGUAAGAGCUCUCUCUCUCUCCAUACCCUUCAGCUUGAACACUGAUAGAUGGAUAUUAAUAUCCGCUUGUGCAUUUAGGGCCUGAUGGAACUUCAUUCAAUUUAAAUGAAAGGCUCCCAUUUUCUUCUAUAGGCUUUGGAUCAAACCUCAUGACGGCACAAUUUCCUUCCCUUUUAGCAAAGCUCUUAUUUUAUUAUUAUUGCUGUAUUACUGGAGGAAGGCCUGUUGUUAAGUUUAAUUGACAGGUCUUGGGGGAAGGAAGAGAAUUCUGCUCCUCUCCCAACCACACAAUAGUACUUCUCCUCUAAUACACUACACCCUGCAAUCAGAUGGAGGGGUCAGGCCUAACAUUCCAAAUCUUUUCCCCUGCUUCCCCCAGUGAAUCACACUACAGUGGUACCUCUGGUUAAAAACUUAAUUCCUUCCGGAGGUUUGUUCUCAACUCGAAACCAUUCUUAACCUGAGGCACACUUUCACUAAUGGGGCCUCCCGCUGCAUGUGUGCCUCCGCUCGCAUUCCGGGGCAAAGUUUGCAACCAGCAGCACCUACUUGCGGGUUAGCGGAGCUCGUAACCUGAAGCAUUCACAAGGAGCACAGUUCGUGACCAGAGGUUUUACUGUAUGUAGGCCAGGCAGUAGCAUGGGGGGGGGCUCGGGGAACAGUCACACUGGACAGCUUUUGGGGGGCACAUUCCUCAUGACACCUUGCUACAUCAUCAGCUGUUGCAUCCUUCUCACACUGCCCUCCAGCUGUAGCGUGCCUUGAGAAGGAUGCAACAGCUCACAGCGCCCUGUGCUCCUCCCCACAGUGUUGCUUUACACCCUGCCCUGUUCUGUUCUUCUCAUCCAUCCUCCAGCUGGAGGGCACCUUGAGAAGGACACGACAGCUCACAUGGGCCCAGUGUAGAUAGAACCAAACCUUCUUUCCUAUCCCUGGGAAUUAAGUCUGCUUCUGUCUGCAUAGACCCACCCCUUUCACCAUCAAAAUGCCAUUCUAGGUUCUGUUUGCUGGUCAUGGUGCACUGUGGGAAGGCACACAGAGCUGGUUCUCACAUAAUGCAAAGCCAAUCCAUAGCUUAGUAUGAACUUAAGGUUUCCAGAAGGGGAGUAGCAGAUGAAAGAGGUGCCAGAUGACCUCGUGUCCUUCUUUCACAGAACUCCUUAGAUCUACACUGCUUUCUCAGUCUCAACCUUUCCUCCUACUUUAUAAUAUGGAAACAAUAAUACUGACCUACCUUACCAGGCUGGUGCUAAAAGGAUUAGCAACUGAGAUAAUGGAUGUGAGGUGCAUUUGAACAUUUGAAAUGUGUUAUAUAAAUGCAAAGUAAUUACUAUUCCUUUGAUAUUUAUGGAGCUAUGUAUUUAUGCCCUCGGCAUCAGAGUACAAAAUUUGGCCCAAUUACUGUCCCCUAUAGAGUUUUCAGUGAGAUUUCUACAAGGUCAGCAAUAUACAGUAUAUAUUUUCCAGAGAGAGUGGAAAAGCCUGUAGCCAUUAUUUAUAGAGGAGAACUGUUUUCCUGGGGGGGGGGGGGGAGAUGACCCAUGGCAGAAUAUAAUGCUGGAAGACAAGAGUAUCUGAAUCUUUCCUCUUGGCGCAGUGUGAAAUAUAGUAUUGAAAUGACAUCUUCAUCCAGCGUGCCUCAAGUUCACAGCCAUAUGUCCUGGUAUACUGCCCAGUUUGUUCUUUCUUGCCACGGUUGGUGAUUAAAAAUGUUACAUAAGCUUCUAGAAGGACUUUGGUUGGCCAUAGUUUUUGCUUCUGUGACUUACUUCACAGCUGCCUAACAUUCAGGAAUUAACAUGCAGGUGAAUGUGCAUGUAUGUUUGUCAUUUCAGGCUGCAGCGUCUUAUGGCUUACAUUUUUCAUUCUUUGUUUUCUUUCUUUUCCUUAUGUUUUCACUUCUUAACAAAUCUAUAAAAGAUGUUAAAAAUGAAAUCAAUAUGCAGGCAAAGCUUUCCCCCAUCAUGUCUCUCUGCCAGGAAAACCUUCACUUCCUAAAUUUCUGUAUUUUGGGCUGCAGUGGAAGGCAAUGGAGCAAGGCCAGUAGUAACAACAAUACUGGAACAGUAACAGCAACAGUGGAGUUGGC